GAUUCAGUCAACCAGGGAAAUCUUUAUUGGUUUCUCUGGUUGACUUAAUCUCAUCAUCAUCUUUUUGACAAUGAUGAUCAGACAAAUGUAAUGUGGUAUGGCCCAGAAUACACUUUCUUUUUGCUGUUUUCAUUUCUUCUUUGGUUUGGUCUUCUGUGCUCUCAUUGCUUUGUGGCUCUUUGUUGCUUUUUGUUCCCUGUUUAAGUUCUGUUUUGUUUUUGUUCUUCUGUUGCUUCUGUCUGGUCCUAUUCAUGGUCUUGUUGAAGUUUUGUUUUAAACUUUUUCUCUUUUCUUUUUGUUUUCUUUGAGGUGUGUUUUAGGUGCUUUUUGUCUUUGUGUUAGUAGUUGUAAUAAAUUGUCCAUCACAAUAGUGCCAUUUGGGCUUUCCCAUAUUUGGAAUUCUAAAUUGACAACUUAUGGCUGUUGCUGGCUUCUUCACUGAAGUACUUUUUCUCUUCUAUUGCACUGGAGAAUCCAGAAAGGUUAGAUUAAAUUCACUAACCCUUUUUCUGAUUUUCUGUUUUCCUCUUCUUUGCAUAUGUUUGGUGAAUGACUGUAUGAGUAACUGUUUAUAUAUUCCAAUUAAGCACUUUCAUUCAACAUGCACACACAAUAAAAUUUGCACAUAUUAUAUACAUUUUAAAAUUU
rnacentral:lncRNA from 1 species